rnacentral:rRNA from 1 species
UACGGAGGGUGCAAGCGUUAUCCGGAUUCACUGGGUUUAAAGGGUGCGUAGGUGGGUUGGUAAGUCAGUGGUGAAAUCCCCGAGCUUAACUUGGGAACUGCCAUUGAUACUAUCAGUCUUGAAUACCGUGGAGGUCAGCGGAAUAUGUCAUGUAGCGGUGAAAUGCUUAGAUAUGACAUAGAACACCAAUUGCGAAGGCAGCUGGCUACUCGGAUAUUGACACUGAGGCACGAAAGCGUGGGGAGCAAACAGG